UGAGCAAUCUGCCCUUCACAUCGGAAUAACCAUUGGAAACGAUGGCUAAUACCGAAUAUGACUUCGGAUCGCAUGAUCUGAAGUGGAAAGCUCCGGCGGUGAAGGAUGAGCUCGCGGCCUAUCAGCUUGUUGGUGAGGUAAUAGCUCACCAAGGCGAUGACGGGUAGUCGGCCUGAGAGGGUGACCGGCCACACUGGGACUGAGACACGGCAGA
rnacentral:rRNA from 1 species